GGUCAUCAUUGUUGAUGGCUUGUAUUUUUGGGCUGCAGUUUGUAUAAUAACAAUGAAAGCUGCCACUUGUGGAACAUCUACUCCAGCAGGCACCUUCCCUGCAGCUGCUUACAUAAGCACAAGCCCAGGCAGGCCUGAGCAUCUUCCUGGUCGAUGAGUGCCUCGGGACAGGCCCUGCAACCAGUGAGGUGGGAGCGCUCACAACAGGUGUGUGCCGGUCCCGACUGCGCGUGCGCUCUACAGAAAUCCUCCUGCUUCUUUCUCCUCCUUCCUCGAGUACCGGGCAGAACUCCUCGCCCAUUGGGGGCCUCAACUAGACUCUCUGGUCUCCAUCCCACGGCUGCUCUGUGUGUCCAGUUACUGCUGUCACUCCAUGUCUCAGGGGCAGCUUUGGAAGAUGGCAAGUCCCAGAAACCCACAGAAUGAAUUUCAAUAGCACUCCCACGGCUCUAUGAAACUGUUAAUGAAGGAAAUUGUCUUGGGCAGGAAGACUUCACAUCACAGGCUUUGUGACUGCUUCAUUUAUUCAUUUUUGCACAUGCAAUCACUAUUUAGUGUGCAUUAUACAUUGGUUAAGAAUCUGGAUUGUGGAGUCCAAAUGCCUAAAUUCGAAUUCUGACUCCUUCAGUUUGAAUUUUGUAAGCCUUUUCUUUCCAUGUCACUUUCCCAACCUGGAAAACAGGAAGAACAGAUCCUGGAGCUAAGGUGAGGUUGGAGUGGGGAAAUAUGCUGACAGGGCCUGCAACAGAGCUUAGCCCAGCGAAUGCCAUCACGUCCCGGGCCAAGAGAGGCCAAGUCCGAUGCAGCGUGCCUCCUGCCCUCAGGGUGCUCCCAUGCUGGUAAGGAGGCCCAGGCUGUUCUGUUCCCCCAGCCAACCAGCCAGGACAUGGCUAGAUGAGGCUGGCACCCUUGGCCUGGCCAAGCAGAGUCAAAUCACAUCCAGGAGUCAGCAGUCAGCUCUAACCCUUGGGCACGAAGACUUGUGUGAACUCUUGCUGCAGAGUACCCUCCUCUGAUUGGGUUCUUCUUGCUGAAGCCAGAAACAUCUGUCUGGCCAUGGCAGGACUGACUUUUUGGGUGCCACGAGCUGGCUCUAACAAGGGCUCAUCCUCCCAGCAGGCUGGCUGAUGAUCAAGUCUCAGUGCGCAGAAGGCUGACCCCAGGCAGCACUCAGCGGACAGCAGAGCUUGAGCUUGGGCAGAACAAGGCUGGAGUCUCAUUUGUCUGCCUGAGAUGGAGACUUUCAGAGCCAGGCAGCUUGAAAAAAUGGAGUGACAAAAGGAGCCAGCCAGCAAUUAGGUAAUGCCAGCCUGCCUGCUGGGCAGCUGGGCACAGACCUCACUGCAGAGAACACUGGGAGGCCGGAGAGAAGCACUCGGGCUUGGGGACACAGAUGCACAACCAUGUGUGAGGGCAUCAGCCGGGUUGUGUCUUUGAGAAGGACUUCAGUCAAGAUACACAGGCAGCCAUGCAGACUUCUAGAACUCAUUGUCAGGUGGAUAUAGAGAUCACGGCCUCCAGAGCAGAAGGUCUCACUAUGCAGUUCGGACUCGUAGUGAUCCUA